rnacentral:rRNA from 1 species
GAUGAACGCUGGCGGCGUGCCUAAUACAUGCAAGUCGAGCGAACAGAUGAGGAGCUUGCUCCUCUGACGUUAGCGGCGGACGGGUGAGUAACACGUGGAUAACCUACCUAUAAGACUGGGAUAACUUCGGGAAACCGGAGCUAAUACCGGAUAAUAUAUUGAACCGCAUGGUUCAAUAGUGAAAGACGGUUUUGCUGUCACUUAUAGAUGGAUCCGCGCCGCAUUAGCUAGUUGGUAAGGUAACGGCUUACCAAGGCAACGAUGCGUAGCCGACCUGAGAGAGUGAUCGGCCACACUGGAACUGAGACACGGUCCAGACUCCUACGGGAGGCAGCAGUAGGGAAUCUUCCGCAAUGGGCGAAAGCCUGACGGAGCAACGCCGCGUGAGUGAUGAAGGUCUUCGGAUCGUAAAACUCUGUUAUUAGGGAAGAACAAAUGUGUAAGUAACUAUGCACGUCUUGACGGUACCUAAUAAGAAAGCCACGGCUAACUACGUG